UACGGAGGGGACUAGCGUUGUUCGGAAUUACUGGGCGUAAAGCGCACGUAGGCGGAUUUGUAAGUCAGGGGUGAAAUCCCGGGGCUCAACCACAGAAUUGCCUUCGAUACUGAUUGGCUUGAGACCGGAAGAGGUCAGUGGAACUGCGAGUGUAGAGGUGAAAUUCGUAGAUAUUCGCAAGAACACCAGUGGCGAAAGCGGCUGACUGGUCCGGUUCUGACGCUGAGGCGCGAAAAGCGUGGGGAGCAAACAGGG
rnacentral:rRNA from 1 species